rnacentral:rRNA from 1 species
AAAUUGAAGAGUUUGAUCAUGGCUCAGAUUGAACGCUGGCGGCAGGCCUAACACAUGCAAGUCGAACGGUAACAGGAAGCAGCUUGCUGCUUCGCUGACGAGUGGCGGACGGGUGAGUAAUGUCUGGGAAACUGCCUGAUGGAGGGGGAUAACUACUGGAAACGGUAGCUAAUACCGCAUAACGUCGCAAGACCAAAGAGGGGGACCUUMGGGCCUCUUGCCAUCGGAUGUGCCCAGAUGGGAUUAGCUAGUAGGUGGGGUAACGGCUCACCUAGGCGACGAUCCCUAGCUGGUCUGAGAGGAUGACCAGCCACACUGGAACUGAGACACGGUCCAGACUCCUACGGGAGGCAGCAGUGGGGAAUAUUGCACAAUGGGCGCAAGCCUGAUGCAGCCAUGCCGCGUGUAUGAAGAAGGCCUUCGGGUUGUAAAGUACUUUCAGCG